rnacentral:rRNA from 1 species
CCUACGGGUGGCUGCAGUGGGGAAUAUUGGACAAUGGGCGCAAGCCUGAUCCAGCAAUGCCGCGUGUGUGAAGAAGGCCUGCGGGUUGUAAAGCACUUUAAGCAGGAAAGAAGGGGUGAAAGUUAAUACCUUUCAUCAUUGACGUUACCUGCAGAAUAAGCACCGGCUAACUCCGUGCCAGCAGCCGCGGUCAUACGGAGGGUGCGAGCGUUAAUCGCACGUAGUGGGCUUGAUGCGCGCGUCGGGGGAUCCCGGGGCUUAACCUGGGAACUGCGGUGGAUACUGUCGGGCUAGAGUGUGGUAGAGGGGAGUGGAAUUUCCGGUGUAGCAGUGAAAUGCGUAGAGAUCGGAAGGAACACCAGUGGCGAAGGCGGCUCCCUGGACUAACACUGACGCUGAGGUGCGAAAGCGUGGGGAGCAAACAGGAUUAGAUACCCCUGUAGUC